UCUUACAGCUAUUUGCACCUGAAAGCACCAAAUACCUUCCUAUCUUUGAAGUUAAGCUGAUAAUGGUGGGUCGGCACUGCUGUGGGGGAACACACGGGAGUGCAACGUGUCUUAAUUC
rnacentral:rRNA from 1 species